CAGCCGCCGCGGGAAUACGAAGGGGGCUAGCGUUGCUCGGAAUGACUGGGCGUAAAGGGCGCGUAGGCGGCUUGCACAGUCAGAUGUGAAAUUCCUGGGCUUAACCUGGGGGCUGCAUUUGAUACGUGUGGGCUAGAGUGUGAAAGAGGGUCGUGGAAUUCCCAGUGUAGAGGUGAAAUUCGUAGAUAUUGGGAAGAACACCGGUGGCGAAGGCGGCGACCUGGUUCAUGACUGACGCUGAGGCGCGAAAGCGUGGGGAGCAAACAGGAUUAGAUACCCCGGUAGUCCCUGUCUCUUAUAC
rnacentral:rRNA from 1 species